CAGCAGCCGCGGGAAUACGAAGGGGGCUAGCGUUGCUCGGAAUCACUGGGCGUAAAGGGUGCGUAGGCGGGUCUUUAAGUCAGGGGUGAAAUCCUGGAGCUCAACUCCAGAACUGCCUUUGAUACUGAAGAUCUUGAGUUCGGGAGAGGUGAGUGGAACUGCGAGUGUAGAGGUGAAAUUCGUAGAUAUUCGCAAGAACACCAGUGGCGAAGGCGGCUCACUGGCCCGAUACUGACGCUGAGGCACGAAAGCGUGGGGAGCAAACAGGAUUAGAUACCCCAGUAGUCCCUGUCUCUUCUAC
rnacentral:rRNA from 1 species